ensembl:lncRNA
CAGAAAGACCUCGGGACCCAGGGGUGUGUUAUUUGGUUAUUCUCUGACCUUAUUGCAUCUCCGCAACCAGAACAGGGUUUCAGAGCUUGAACUUCCCAGAAGCGCCAGCUGCUUCUUGCUGAUGUCAGAGAAUCCACGCUCGGCAGUAAGCUGAUGUUGGCUCACACAGAUUUUACACGCAGAGGAGAACCACGGAACCCUGAAUCCCAUUACACAGCUGAUGUCUGCAGGGAGAAGAUCACGGAAACGAAAACAAAGCUACGUUUUAUUCUUAAGGGGGCAUGUGGGCAAGGCACUGCCCUCCUGCCUCAACCCUGCCAACUAUUUUUAAUAAACCCCAGCCUGAGAAACACCGGUUUAGAAUGCGGGUACAGAAGAAAGCGGUUGGUGUCACACCACUCUUUGCAUGGUGCUUGGAAGACUGUUCCUGAUGGGCUGGCCCUUUAAUCUCAUACUUUUAACAAUCCCACAACGCUUUUCUUGGAUGUCAUUUGAACCCGAGUCUUGGAGUUGCUUGCUUUGCACUCACCUGGAACGUUCCUGGAACAAAUGCAGUAGGCACCUGCCUGGUCUCCCUGCCUUUGCGUGCUCCAUCCUAGAGAACUUCAUCUCCAAAAGGCAAGCCUGCCCACACCCCACCCAGCUCAGGCCCUUCAGUGGUUCACGGUGCUGUGAGACAGCAGUGGAAU